UGGGCUGUAGCUCAGUGGCAGAACACUUGCCUAGUGUGCAUGAAGUCCUGGGUUCAAUCCCCAGUGCUGCAA
rnacentral:tRNA from 1 species